UCAAAAUCGGUUUCAAACUUUUUCGACUGAGUACGCGCAAUAAACGCCUAGUAGUAGUAUUUAAAUGUUUACCGUAUUCAUUUAAAGCAUCGUAGGACAAUGCCGCUAUGUAAACUGUAUGGUGGGUCUUAAAUUAGUGUGAGUUAUUUUGGCACCGGACUCAACCUUCACGUUACAAUAUUUAAAGUAUUGCGCUGUCAUAGUAACGAAAAUGAUAAACACGUCAAUCGGAGUAAACAAGUAACUAAAUGAUGCAAACAAGAAAAUAUUGCAAAAUAGGUACAUAUAUAUGUACCGAUAAUUAUUUUGUGUUAAAAAUAUGAGGCAAAUUAUACUGCCCGAUUAUAUGGACUACAUAUUAAAAACGAUUAUCUUGGAAACAGUCAAUAGAUGUCGAACCACCAGCAAAGUUUUUGAAGAGGUGUAGUUCCUGGUACCAACUGGAAACUGAAACUAAUAUCUACACUCAAGAAAAUGAAAUAUAGUCACAGAAAACUUUAAUGUUUUAUUUUAUUAAAGAAAAACGUUAAAAAAAUGUGUAAACAGAAAUGUAUAUUUUUUAAUUCGUAGUUGAAUAACAUAAUAUGUAUUUAAUCUCCUGUACAUAGGAAUCGUCUUUUUGUAGGUUUAUAUAAACAAUAAGUACUUAGGUCGAUUUAGGCAUCAACUCAUCACACCAAAAUUUUGUUCUAACCGGUCACACCGCCAAAAGCAGUAUUAUUUGUUUCAACCCGUCACAAGUAGAUUUAGUUCUAUUAGGACACAUCGUAAUUUUGUAGCUAUUGGUCAAACUGCAAAUCUGUUCCUAUUCGUCAUCCCGUCAAACUGUUCUAACUAGUCACAAGGAGGAUACCUAAACAAAUUUCACUACCCGCGAAACGUGUAAUAUAGACCAUACAGUAGGUCUUAAUGGUGAUGGCGACUGUACAAUGGGGUUGCGUAUACAUACAAAGAGCAUUCAAAUAGUUGGUGAUAGACCAAGUGACCGAGUUACUAACAGUUAUAUUAUAUCUUUUUUAUAAAUAAUGUAAUAGCGUAAUUUUUGGAAAAAUAAUAAAGGAUUCAUGAACCA